rnacentral:ncRNA from 2 species
GUAUUCUCCGAAGAGUUCGCCUCUGGGCGGACCCACAACUGAAUGCGUGCACGACUGGGGAAAGCCGGUGGGAAUCCGGCGCUGACCUGCAACCGUGAGCGCGAGGCCGCUGCCUCGCGUGAGCCGGAACGCCCGGCGUGCUGCGCGUAUCGCU